GCGGCGCUCGUGCCCUUCCGGCAGCGCCCCCGGGCGGAGCGCGGCCGUGGCCCCGCGGCCGCUGUGGGGGAACCGGGGCUGCUGUGGGGGAACCGGGGCUCUGCGCCUGGGGAGCGAGGGGCUGGAGCAGCGCUGCAGAAAGGGAGCUGGGGGCCCUGGUCCAUGGCACUGAGUGUGAGACACUGAGCCCCGGCAGCCAGGAGGGCCAGCCCUGCCCUGGGGGAUGUAAUCAGGGACAGGGCUUUUUGUUCACUAAAGAGUUAACUAGAAGAUAUACCACAGGAUGUGAGCAAAAGGGCGAAGGACAAGUUAUUGUCUAAACUUGCGCGGCUGUUGUUUAACUUUCCGGUUUGCACCCGCGUAACCACCCCCCAGUUUCAGGAAGAGCCAUAAGGGAAGGUCAGUCAGGACAUCCGAGGAAGACCAAGAGCCUUCAUCCCACGACCACCAGAUGGCAGAUAAAGACCCCUGGCACCAAGGGAGCGCAUGCGCAGAGUACUCCUGAGGACCACACGUCAACAGGAAAGGGGAGGAUAUAAAAAGGAAGGACUGAAAGUGCCCCUGUGUGAAAGUUGGUGGGGCCCAGCGCUGAUUAGCUUAUGCCUUGAUUGCUGUAGUCAGUAAAUUCCGAUUUGAUUCUAUCGAAACCGUGUCGCAGUUUAUCACAAUUUGGCGCCGUGACUCGGAUGGGACUGGUGCGGUGACACGGACUCAUUGGGGAGGCGCCCACCAUUGGCCUCGGUGGGUCCCCUCACCCUACUGCCACCGACGAACCUGAAUUCAAGGCAUUAAGCAAAGGUGACCGGUCGACCCUGUAAAUUUUGUGCACAAAGGUCCGGACGAAGACGCGGGACGCAGACCGCAAUACGGACGGCUGAAAAGGGAUGGACACAUGCCAGCAGAAUUAAGGGACCAGUGAAGGAGCCAUCAUCCGAGUGGCAGAUAACUAGCCCUCCUGGGGACUUGAAACUGAGAAUUCGCAGAAAAGACUGUUAAUGACCACAUAUCGGAUUGAAUAUCUCCCGAACCCACACUAUGUAAAUAAGGGACUGAUUAGUAAUCUGGAUGUUAGAAUAAGCUGAAAUUACUAAGGCCAUUUGUCGCAAGUACCUGAAAGAGGUCCAGUGCUACACUCCUGGAAUUAAGGACUCUAAUUGGAGUGCCUAUAUUGAAAGGCAGAGGGCUAUAAGAGCUCGUUCUAGGGAACCUCCUGAAGAAUACCCCUGCUGCCGAGAAGAUGGUACACCUCAUGGCUCGAAGCAACCGAGUCGACAAGCGAGGCAGAGGAGUAAGCAAGUGUGGAGGAAAGAGCCCCCAAACUGGGAUAUUAGAGCAAUGCUCAAAGAACUGCCCCAGGAGUGAGACUAAAAAUCCUAAAGAUCCUCAAUGCAACACGCGACAUUUAAAUAAGGUUUCAGGAAGAGCCAUAAGGGAAGGUCAGUCAGGACAUCCGAGGAAGACCAAGAGCCUUCAUCCCACGACCACCAGAUGGCAGAUAAAGACCCCUGGCAAUAAGGGAACGCAUGCGCAGAGUACUCCAGAGGACCACACGUCAACAGGAAAGAGGAGGAUAUAAAAAGGAAGGACUGAAAGUGCCCCGGUGUGAAAGUUGGUGGGGCGCAGACUCCUAUAUGGCCCAGCACUGAUUUUCUUAUGCCUUGAUUGCUGUAGUCAAUAAAUUCCGAUUUGAUUAUAUCGAAA